GUGGGAACGGAGGCAGGGGAGUCGGGUAAACGGGGGCAGAGGUAAACGAGGACACAUGGAGGAGAGGACUGGAAGACGGAAGCCAAACCAGAUUAUUCCUUAACAGACUGGACGACGACCGGGAGAACCGGCCGUCAAAAUCGCCCCUCGCCCUCCGUGUCGCCCGCGGUUUCAGGGAGAGAACAAGCCCGGCUCCAUCAGCCCUGUUGAACAGCUGACCUGCCUCCAACACUGAGGGACACACGUACGUGUGACAUACUGUACCAGAUGAGUCAAAGCCAGGGAACAGAGGGUGGAUCAGACGAUAAGGAAACCUCUCCUCAUUCAUCAAGGAGGAAAAUUAAUGUGCAUUUUUAUUCAUAUGGCUUCAGCAAUUAACUGUUUCUAUUUACCAUCAUUUAGUUGUUUUAAUUUUUAACCGACUUGCACAGCCUGUCAUGGUUUUGAAAAGCUGUUGCUGUUUUUACAUCUUUUAUAUUCCAUUAUAUCAGUGUUUGUUUAUGAUGAGGAAAUUGACGUAACGACCUCAGUAACGCGACUUAUCUCGGUUUCUCCCCUAAUUUAUUACAAAACAGUUUCCAGUUUGCCUUUGUCAGGUCCUUCGGAGCAGGGACACCUCCUGACGGGACUCGGGGAACAAGUGUUUCAGAUGGGCCAUCAUGUAUAUACACUUACGUAGAGCUGAUAAAGGCAAACUAAUAGUUGUUUGUGUAUAUUCCCCAUGGACAUUGAAUGUGCUAAUUUCUCUGCUUCAUCUUUGCUUAAUCUUUGUUCUUACUCUGGAUGCUGAUUUGUAAUUCUUGAAAAGGUAAAUUGCCAUGUGAUUUGUAGCUACCUUGGUGACACAUUUUCUGUGGCUGUGCAUAUUGAUUGUACUUGAUGCAUAGUGCAUAGCGCCUCGUUAUUACUGUAUUAAAAGGCAGUAAAAUGCA